rnacentral:tRNA from 1 species
GGGCUUGUGGUUUAGUGGUAUAAUACUCCCUUAGCAUCUGAUACGAUCCUUGAUUGCGAUUCCUCAGAAACUUGGGAGUGGUCCGGGGUUCGAUUCCCCGCGAGUCCA